rnacentral:rRNA from 1 species
GGGUUGUGAGGUUAAGCGACUAAGCGUACACGGUGGAUGCCCUGGCAGUCAGAGGCGAUGAAGGACGUGCUAAUCUGCGAUAAGCGUCGGUAAGGUGAUAUGAACCGUUAUAACCGGCGAUUUCCGAAUGGGGAAACCCAGUGUGAUUCGUCACACUAUCAUUAACUGAAUCCAUAGGUUAAUGAGGCGAACCGGGGGAACUGAAACAUCUAAGUACCCCGAGGAAAAGAAAUCAACCGAGAUUCCCCCAGUAGCGGCGAGCGAACGGGGAGGAGCCCAGAGCCUGAAUCAGUGUGUGUGUUAGUGGAAGCGUCUGGAAAGGCGCGCGAUACAGGGUGACAGCCCCGUACACAAAAAUGCACAUACUGUGAGCUCGAUGAGUAGGGCGGGACACGUGGUAUCCUGUCUGAAUAUGGGGGGACCAUCCUCCAAGGCUAAAUACUCCUGACUGACCGAUAGUGAACCAGUACCGUGAGGGAAAGGCGAAAAGAACCCCG